rnacentral:rRNA from 1 species
UACAGAGGUCUCAAGCGUUGUUCGGAUUCAUUGGGCGUAAAGGGUGCGUAGGUGGCGCCGUAAGUCAGGUGUGAAAUUUCGGAGCUUAACUCCGAAACUGCAUUUGAUACUGCGGUGCUUGAGGACUGGAGAGGAGACUGGAAUUUACGGUGUAGCAGUGAAAUGCGUAGAGAUCGUAAGGAAGACCAGUGGCGAAGGCGGGUCUCUGGACAGUGACUGACGCUGAGACGCGAAAGCGUGGGGAGCAAACAGG